rnacentral:rRNA from 1 species
CGGCGAACGGGUGCGUAACACGUGAGCAAUCUGCCGAUCUCUGGGGGAUAGCCGGCCCAACGGCCGGGUAAUACCGCAUACGCUCAUCGGGGGACAUCCCCUGGUGAGGAAACCUCCGGGGGAGAUCGAGGAGCUCGCGACCUAUCAGCUAGUUGGCGAGGUAAUGGCUCACCAAGGCUACGACGGGUAGCUGGUCUGAGAGGAUGGCCAGCUACAUUGGGACUGCGACACGGCCCAGACUCCUACGGGAGGCAGCAGUGGGGAAUAUUGCGCAAUGGACGAAAGUCUGACGCAGCGACGCCGCGUGUGGGAUGAAGCUCUUCGGGGUGUAAACCACUGUUGCCCGGGAAGAAACUCCUGAUUCGUCAGGACUGACGGUACCGGGUGAGGAAGCACCGGCUAACUCUGUGCCAGCAGCCGCGGUAAUACAGAGGGUGCGAGCGUUGUCCGGAAUCACUGGGCGUAAAGGGCGCGUAGGUGGCGGGAUAAGCGUGCGGUGAAAGCCCGGGGCUCAACCCCGGGUCUGCCGUGCGGACUGUCUUGCUCGAGCGUAGUAGAGGCAGGUGGAAUUCCGGGUGUAGCGGUGGGAUGCGUAGAGAUCCGGAAGAACACCGGUGGCGAAGGCGGCCUGCUGGGCUACUGCUGACACUGAGGCGCGACAGCGUGGGGAGCAAACAGGAUUAGAUACCCUGGUAGUCCACGCCGUAAACGAUGGGUACUAGGUGUCUGGGGGAGCGACCCCCUGGGUGCCGGCGCUAACGCAUGAAGUACCCCGCCUGGGGAGUACGGCCGCAAGGCUGAAACUCAAAGGAAUUGACGGGGGCCCGCACAAGCGGUGGAGCAUGUGGUUUAAUUCG